rnacentral:lncRNA from 1 species
AUGAGGGGGGAUAGGACCUUUAUCGGGACUCCGGGAUCGGGUGUUUUUAAGCUCGGGAUUUCGGGAUUGACCCUUUCGGGAUCCGGGAAUCCUUUUUUUCGGAUUUCGGGAUGUCGGGAUUUGCUUUAUUUAAAUUCGGGACCUCGGGAUUUCGUUUUUUCAAGUCCGGGAUUUCGGGAUCAAGACCCCUCCUAUCCCCCCUCCAUCAUGGAUAGGAGGGCUGAGAAGUUGGAUGAGCCGGUCCUUCAUUUCUAUAUUCUUUAAUUGUUCUUACUUUUUGCCCAUGUUUUGCUAUUCUUCAUAUUUUAGCACCUCAAUAUUAUAUAUUCUUUAUUUUUUCCCCCCAUUUUUCUCUAUUCUUUAUAGUUUGCCCAUUAGUAUUCUCUAUUCUGUUAACCCCACCCACGUGACUCUCCUAUAGAUGGGCGUGGUUUUUUUGGUUCUUCGGUAGUGAGCCAGAAGAGGUCAAUAUCUGUUUGUAUUUCUUUGCAUUGGAAAUAUCUUCUGUCUCUCUUCUACCUCUUCCUUUUACAUAUAUAUAGUUUAGACGACACAUGCAUAACAAACAUAAUGCGUUUAGUCUACAUAGCAUUAAUAAAUUUAUGAAUGCAGAUAUAAUAGAAUGUGAGCUGUGUGAUAAACAUUUUCAUGGUAUGGCAGCCUUAGUAGAACAUCCCUGUAGGGACGAUAAUCUGGAUGAAUAUAAAAAC